AUUGAACGCUGGCGGAAUGCUUUACACAUGCAAGUCGAACGGCAGCACGGACUUCGGUCUGGUGGCGAGUGGCGAACGGGUGAGUAAUACAUCGGAACGUGCCCAGUCGUGGGGGAUAACGUAGCGAAAGCUACGCUAAUACCGCAUACGAUCUAAGGAUGAAAGCGGGGGAUCGAAAGACCUCGCGCGAUUGGAGCGGCCGAUGGCAGAUUAGGUAGUUGGUGGGGUAAAGGCUCACCAAGCCGACGAUCUGUAGCUGGUCUGAGAGGACGACCAGCCACACUGGGACUGAGACACGGCCCAGACUCCUACGGGAGGCAGCAGUGGGGAAUUUUGGACAAUGGGCGCAAGCCUGAUCCAGCCAUUCCGCGUGCAGGAUGAAGGCCCUCGGGUUGUAAACUGCUUUUGUACGGAACGAAAAGGCUCUGGUUAAUACCUGGGGCUCAUGACGGUACCGUAAGAAUAAGCACCGGCUAACUACGUG
rnacentral:rRNA from 1 species